rnacentral:rRNA from 1 species
UGGGGAAUAUUGGACAAUGGGCGAAAGCCUGAUCCAGCCAUGCCGCGUGUGUGAAGAAGGUCUUCGGAUUGUAAAGCACUUUAAGUUGGGAGGAAGGGCAGUAACUUAAUACGUUGCUGUUUUGACGUUACCGACAGAAUAAGCACCGGCUAACUCUGUGCCAGCAGCCGCGGUACUACAGAGGGUGCAAGCGUUCAUCGGAAUUACUGGGCGUAAAGCGCGCGUAGGUGGUUUGUUAAGUUGGAUGGUAAAGCCCCGGGCUCAACCUGGGAACUGCAUUCAAAACUGACAAGCUAGAGUAUGGUAGAGGGUGGUGGAAUUUCCUGUGUAGCGGUGAAAUGCGUAGAUAUAGGAAGGAACACCAGUGGCGAAGGCGACCACCUGGACUGAUACUGACACUGAGGUGCGAAAGCGUGGGGAGCAAACA